rnacentral:lncRNA from 1 species
CACUUUCCUCCUCUUGAAAAUGCAACAAGGGAAGCUGUAUAAAGAAACAAUACUGGGCCAGGCGCGGUGGCUCACGCCUGUAAUCCCAGCAUUUUGGGAGGCCAAGGCGGGUGGAUCACCUGAGGUCAGGAGUUCAAGACCAGCCUGACCAACAUGGCAAAACCUCAUCUCUACUAAAAAUACAAAAUUAGCCAGGGGUGGUGGCACAUGCCUGUAAUCCCAGCUACUGGGGAAGCUGAAGCAGGAGAAUUGCUUGAACCCAGGAGGCAGAAGUUGCAGUGAGCCGAGAUCGCGUCAUCGCAUUCCAGCCUGGGCAACAAAGAGCGAAACUCCAUCUCAAAAAAAAAAAAAAAAGGAAAAAGAAACAAUACCAGAAAGCCCAUCUCUACAUUGCUAGGCAACCUUUCCAAGAUUCCUAGAGUGUGAAUGAUGUGAGCUUGCCUUGGGGUGAAGGCUGCUGGAGUCAGCUCUUUCCGAUCCUGGCUAGUUUUCUGCUCCUAAUAAAGGCUUCUUUCAUGGCUGGGCAAGAGGAAGACUCAGAUGGCCCUCCGUGGACAAGGGUUGGUUCCCGAAUCUGUCCCAGGUCCAAAGAUAGACAACUAACUCAAAAUUGUAUCUUCGCUUUAAUCACUGCUCUGGUGAUAUUUGCAUUAAUGAAAGAGAAAAGAAAGCAUCCCCAACAGAUGGAAAAGGCGGCUCUCUGACUAGUGAAAGAACAACUUCCAGUAAAAGAAGGCACUGAGGUUUAAGUGCUACGUGGGAGCAGUUGCCGAUUUUUGCAAUGGGAGGCUGCAUAGAUUCAAGGACUUCCUUGAGUGCUCCAGGAGCUUGUCAUUCCAGAGACAGAGCAGCCCAGAAGUCCUGGGAUUUACACCUCUAGUAGAAACCCUCAACCAGAGAAGGAUGGAAGUCAAUGGGCAGAGUGCUCGGGAGACCUUUACCUGUUUUACCUGAUUACAUCCUCUGAGUCACAACGAGAAAGGAAGCCGAGCAACAGCCAGACCUGAUCUUCUUUAAUUGUGCUCUGUGGACCAAAGGCAACAGAAUUACCUAGGCCCCACCCAGAAAAUGCAGAAUCCUGGGUCCCUUAUGAAGCCACCGAAUCAAAAUUGUGGGGAGCAACCAGGAACCUGAUUUUUAAACAAGUUCCCCUGUGAUUCUUAUGCACAUUAAAAUUUGAAAACCCCUGGACAAAGCCACAGUUCCUGGAGGAGCAGAGAUGAGUCAUGUCCAUGAGUAAUACCCCAUGUUGACACAGCCCUGGUGCAAGGUAGGCACGCCCCUCACACCUGUUCUCAUCACCAACAUUCCUUGGACAAGGUCAGGAGACGGUCUUGAGCAAUUUGGUAUAAAACAAAUCUCUGUAAGUCACAUUUUAAAUAUAAUAUUUAGAGGGAUUGCAUUGGCAAAUCAAAUUGUUUUCAUUAUUGUAAAUUGUACUGUGCUCAGAUACUUACCCAAUCUUGACUUCAAAUUUAGCUCAACAUGACCUCUGGCCUUAGGCUUGAGGAUUGUAAGGCCCCCUGGCCCAGCACGCUUGCUGUGCUUGGGGCUCUGUUGUUAGCACUCUGUUUAUUUUGUUCUUGGGCACCGUCCACUACCUGGUCAGAAAAACCUUAGCCCCACUGUUCCCCAGUGCCUGUGUUCAUGUCUUGCCCCAAAGACCCAAUCCCAGAGGCUAUGGGUCCUCAAGGUUGAGAUUCUACCUAUGGCCCAAGCUAAGGUCCUGCCAUCUCUUAGCAGAAUUUCCAAAUCCUGGCCUACUUUCUAGGGUCUUCCAAUAUCAUCUGGUGCUGAAUUCCUAUCACCAAGCUCCAUGUGCCUCUCAGGACACCUCUCAUAAUCCCCCCAAACCAUAUACAGCCUAUCAGUGAGGAGCACAGGCUCGCUGGACAGCCUAGGUAUGAAGCUUGGCUCUGCCACUUGGUGGCUGUGUGACCUUAGCCAAACACCCCACCCAACAAGCCUCAAUUCCUGCAUCUAUAACAGCCCCUACUAUUAUAUGCAGCGUUGUCAUGAGUAUUGAGUGAGGUGAUACACUUACAGCCAAGCACAGUGCUUGGGCACAGCAAGGGCUCAAUAAAUGUUGGGGACCGGUCCAAAAGCUGUUCCAUGUCUGAGUGCGCGUACAUGUGAACAAAGCUCCAUGCCAAAGCAAAUGUGUCUCCAAGCUACCCUAGCAGUGGCACCAGGGGUCACUUAUAGAGUGUCACUUUGGGCUUUGGAACAAAUGGACUUGUAAGCAGCCUUUUCUCCUCUAUUUUUUUUUUUUUUUUUGAGACAGAGUUUCACUUUUGUCACCCAGGCUGGAGCGCAAUGGCGCGAUCUCGGCUCGCUGCAAACUCUGCCUCCCAGGUUCAAGUGAUUCUCCUGCCUCAGCCUCCCAAGUAGAUGGGAUUACUGGUGUGUGCCAUUAUGCCAGGUAAUUUUGUAUUUUUAGUAGACAUGGGGUUUCACCGUGUUGGCCAGGCUGGUCUUGAACUCCUGACCUCAGGUGAUCCACCCGCCUUGGCCUCCCAAAGUGCUGGGAUUACAGGCAUGAGCCAUCGCACCUGGCCAAAGCAGCCUUUUUAGAAUUCACCUUUGAAUAAUAAUAAUAAUAAUAGCAAAUACAUGGUACUCACUAUGAGCUAGACCCUGUGCUGAUAAGGGCAUUACUCAUUUGAUUCCUUCCAUAACAAGGCUGGUACUUUAUUACCCCCACUUUACAG